rnacentral:rRNA from 1 species
AAUCCUGGUGGCGAGUGGCGAACGGGUGAGUAAUAUAUCGGAACGUGCCCAGUCGUGGGGGAUAACGCAGCGAAAGUUGUGCUAAUACCGCAUACGAUCUAUGGAUGAAAGCGGGGGAUCGCAAGACCUCGCGCGAUUGGAGCGGCCGAUAUCAGAUUAGGUUGUUGGUGAGGUAAAAGCUCACCAAGCCUGCGAUCUGUAGCUGGUCUGAGAGGACGACCAGCCACACUGGAAUUGAGACACGGUCCAGACUCCUACGGGAGGCAGCAGUGGGGAGUUUUGGACAAUGGACGCAAGUCUGAUCCGCAAUGCCGCGUGCAGGACGAAGGCUUUCGGGUUGUAAACUGCUUUUGUACAGAACGAAAAAGUCUUUAAUAACACUAGAGGCUCAUGACCGGUACUGUAAGAAUAAGCACCGGCUAACUACGUGCCCAGCAGCCGCGGUAAUACGUAGGGUGCAAGCGUUAAUCGGAAUUACUGGGCGUAAAGCGUGCGCAGGCGGUUAUAUAAGACAGAUGUGAAAUCCCCGGGCUCAACCUGGGACCUGCAUUUGUGACUGUAUAGCUAGAGUACGGUAGAGGGGGAUGGAAUUCCGCGUGUAGCAGUGAAAUGCGUAGAUAUGCGGAGGAACACCGAUGGCGAAGGCAAUCCCCUGGACCUGUACUGACGCUCAUGCACGAAAGCGUGGGAGCAAACAGGAUUAGAUACCC